UUUUAUGGAGAGUUUGAUCCUGGCUCAGAGUGAACGCUGGCGGCGUGCCUAAUACAUGCAAGUCGAACGAUGAAGCUUCUAGCUUGCUAGAGUGCUGAUUAGUGGCGCACGGGUGAGUAACGCAUAGGUCAUGUGCCUCUUAGUUUGGGAUAGCCAUUGGAAACGAUGAUUAAUACCAGAUACUCCCUACGGGGGAAAGAUUUAUCGCUAAGAGAUCAGCCUAUGUCCUAUCAGCUUGUUGGUAAGGUAAUGGCUUACCAAGGCUAUGACGGGUAUCCGGCCUGAGAGGGUGAACGGACACACUGGAACUGAGACACGGUCCAGACUCCUACGGGAGGCAGCAGUAGGGAAUAUUGCUCAAUGGGGGAAACCCUGAAGCAGCAACGCCGCGUGGAGGAUGAAGGUUUUAGGAUUGUAAACUCCUUUUGUUAGAGAAGAUAAUGACGGUAUCUAACGAAUAAGCACCGGCUAACUCCGUGCCAGCAGCCGCGGUAAUACGGAGGGUGCAAGCGUUACUCGGAAUCACUGGGCGUAAAGAGCGCGUAGGCGGGAUAGUCAGUCAGGUGUGAAAUCCUAUGGCUUAACCAUAGAACUGCAUUUGAAACUACUAUUCUAGAGUGUGGGAGAGGUAGGUGGAAUUCUUGGUGUAGGGGUAAAAUCCGUAGAGAUCAAGAGGAAUACUCAUUGCGAAGGCGACCUGCUAGAACAUUACUGACGCUGAUUGCGCGAAAGCGUGGGGAGCAAACAGGAUUAGAUACCCUGGUAGUCCACGCCCUAAACGAUGGAUGCUAGUUGUUGGAGGGCUUAGUCUCUCCAGUAAUGCAGCUAACGCAUUAAGCAUCCCGCCUGGGGAGUACGGUCGCAAGAUUAAAACUCAAAGGAAUAGACGGGGACCCGCACAAGCGGUGGAGCAUGUGGUUUAAUUCGAGGAUACACGAAGAACCUUACCUAGGCUUGACAUUGAGAGAAUCCGCUAGAAAUAGUGGAGUGUCUAGCUUGCUAGACCUUGAAAACAGGUGCUGCACGGCUGUCGUCAGCUCGUGUCGUGAGAUGUUGGGUUAAGUCCCGCAACGAGCGCAACCCCCUUUCUUAGUUGCUAACAGGUCAUGCUGAGAACUCUAAGGAUACUGCCUCCGUAAGGAGGAGGAAGGUGGGGACGACGUCAAGUCAUCAUGGCCCUUACGCCUAGGGCUACACACGUGCUACAAUGGGGUGCACAAAGAGAAGCAAUACUGCGAAGUGGAGCCAAUCUUCAAAACGCCUCUCAGUUCGGAUUGUAGGCUGCAACUCGCCUGCAUGAAGCUGGAAUCGCUAGUAAUCGCAAAUCAGCCAUGUUGCGGUGAAUACGUUCCCGGGUCUUGUACUCACCGCCCGUCACACCAUGGGAGUUGUGUUUGCCUUAAGUCAGGAUGCUAAAUUAGCUACUGCCCACGGCACACACAGCGACUGGGGUGAAGUCGUAACAAGGUAACCGUAGGUGAACCUGCGGUUGGAUCACCUCCUUUCUAGA
rnacentral:rRNA from 1 species